AAUGAACGCUGGCGGCAGGCCUAACACAUGCAAGUCGAACGGAUCCUUCGGGAUUAGUGGCGGACGGGUGAGUAACGCGUGGGAACAUACCCUUUGGUACGGAAUAGCCUCGGGAAACUGGGAGUAAUACCGUAUGUGGUCGAGAGACGAAAGAUUUAUCGCCAAAGGAUUGGCCCGCGUUGGAUUAGGUAGUUGGUGGGGUAAUGGCCUACCAAGCCGACGAUCCAUAGCUGGUUUGAGAGGAUGAUCAGCCACACUGGGACUGGGACACGGCCCAGACUGCUACGGGGGGCAGCAGUGGGGAAUCUUAGACAAUGGGGGAAACCCUGAUCUAGCCAUGCCGCGUGAUCGAUGAAGGCCUUAGGGUUGUAAAGAUCUUUCAGGUGGGAAGAUAAUGACUGUACCACCUGAAGAGGCCCCGGCUAACUCCGUGCCAGCCGCCGCCGUAACAC
rnacentral:rRNA from 1 species